rnacentral:rRNA from 1 species
CCUACGGGUGGCAGCAGUGGGGAAUAUUGCACAAUGGGGGAAACUCUGAUGCAGCGACGCCGCGUGAGUGAAGAAGGCAUUCUUUAUGUAAAGCUCUAUUAGCAGGGAAGAAAAUGACGGUACCUGAGUAAGAAUCCCCGGCUCACUACGUUCCAGCAGCCGCGGUAAUACGUAGGGGGCAAGCGUUAUCCGGAUUUACUGGGUGUAAAGGGGGCGUAGACGGCAGUGCAAGUCUGGAGUGAAAGGGGGGGGCUCAACCCCCGGACUGCUCUUGAAACUGUAGGGCUGGAGUGCAGGAGAGGUAAGUGGAAUGCCUGGUGUAGCGGUGAAAUGCGUAGAUAUUAGGAGGAACACCAGUGGCGAAGGCGGCUUACUGGACUGUAACUGACGUUGAGGCUCGAAAGCGUGGGGAGCAAACAGGAUUAGAUACCCGAGUAGUC